ACUGCCAGCAACGCACCCACGCACGCACGCCCCCGCACGACCUCUCGCCCCCUCCUCAUCCUCCCACCCCACGCAACAGCACGGGCCGGGACGCCGUUCAGCGAUCCUCCCGCGCCAUUCGCCGCCCAAGUGGUUCGCCGCCCCGCCGCCCCCCUGUCCUCCCGCGCCGUCGCCGCCCGCCGUUCUCUCCUCACGUGUCUCCUGCAGCUUGCCCCACAUCGUGGUGCGCCAUGGGUACCAUCCAGAUUGAGUACAGGGCAUGGGCAUGAGAGGCGCCGCGCUCCCUUCCAUGCACCGCUCUGCUGCUUUCGCUUCCAAGAAUACCGUUCUCCCACAAGAGCUUGGAUCGUCUGCCCGUGGUCGCAAUUUCCUGGCGUCUUCUGCUUCUUCUUUCUUUGGAUCCCUAGCUAGCGAGUUUGUUUCUUCCUCUGAAUUUCUAUGCAUUCACUAGCAAGCAACACUUUGAUUUAGCUGUAGCCAAUUCAGACGAGCAGCGGCGACAACUCCGACGCAACGGGCUUGGCCUGCGUCAGCGGCGGCGGGGUCCAUCUCCUCCCUCGAGCAGCGGUGGUGGCGUGGGACACAGCGGGCUCGGCCGCGAAGAUGGAUUUCUCCGGCGGGGCAUUUUAAAAUGCUGAUGUGCCGAUGAAUCCUCGCCUCUGUUCCUCGACCUCGCGUCAGGGACGCAUAUGCCCCUACGACCGUUCCUCCUCGUGGUCAGUGACGCAAAGCCGACGACACGGAAGCCGCUGCCGUUGUUCCUCUACGCGACGGUGAUACACAAGGCGUAGCCUCUCCCUGAUCCUAUACUCCGUGCCUUGUCCAUCCAUAUGCGAUCUUAUUUUGUUUCAGUUUUUUGCUAGCUUUAACAUUGGCCUUUGUUCAAAUCCUAUUCAGGUUGAACCAUAGAAAGCGAACACUCAAAGCUACAGAGGCAACCAGUCCAAAGGAAUAAGUAAGGUCAUGCCAGUUCAUUCAACUGUUCAAGCUCAACUAAGUGUUGCAUUGAAAUUUGCAAGUAACCUUGCUUCAACAUAAGAGAAUUGGGUGAUGGACGUGAUAUCAACAUGGUUAUGGACUACCAUGUAUGUUCAUAAAUAUGUACACCCUUUGGGGUCGGGCCCGCCGCCAUCGCGGACUAGGCCGGCGACAGCGGCGGUAGGAGGGGAGAUGGGAGGGACCUGUCGGCACAAGGGUUGGUGUCCCCUGGCGUCGCCCAAGGGAGGCGACGCGAGGGGGUAAGGAGACACAACUUGGAACAUGAGGAGUAUUGAUUCAUGAAGAUAAGACAUGCAUUGCGCAAGAAGACAAGACAACAUGGUGUAUAUAUAAGUCAUGCAAGUUCAUCCAACUGUUCACGUUCAACUAUGUGUUGCAUUGAAAUUUGUAAGUAACCUUGCUUCAACAGAAGAGAAUUGGGUGAUGGACAUGAUAUCAACAUGGUUAUGGACUACCAUCUAUGUUCAUAAAUAUGUACACCCUUUGGGGUCGGGCCCACCGCCACCGUGGACUAGGCCGGCGGCAGCGGGGGCAGGAGGGGAGAUGGGAGGGACAUUAGGGUUGGUGAUGAGGACAUCAAUACCAUUGUUACACCCACAACCCCUACUGCUACAUAUACUGGACCAAUUCUAGAGCUCGCACACG